rnacentral:rRNA from 1 species
AUGGGAAUGGAAUUUCAUAAUACUGAAACAGAAGAGCUAGCAACUCGGAACGCAAAUUGCAUUUUAAUACGUCUCACUAUUCUAAUUUUUUAGAAGAAAUGGCCUUUAUUUUUUAUUUUUUAUGGGGUUAAUAAAUAUUAACCAAAUUUAAUUUAAGAAAUGAGAAAAUUCAGAAUAGCUACGAGAAAGACUAGUCCGAUCCAUAAUGAUGUACCAAAAAAUACAACAUUUUUAUUAUUUGACCCAUCAGGAGAAGCAAAUAAAAGGGGUACGCUAAUUACUAAGACUGAGGAAGUCUCAAUUAAUGCAAAAACAGCUAAUUGGAAAGCAAUAGUCAUAUUUCUAAUCCACCAAGUUACCAUCAAAUAA